UUGCUCAACAGGCAACUUGGAAUUCGAAACUUCAUCCCUUUGAGAUCCAUGUUUCUUGAUCUUCAUUCUGGUAGCCAUUCCUAUUUGCGUGCAUUUUCAUCUACUCCAGUGAUAUCACUGGCUGUUGAACGAGGAUGGAAUGAGUCUGCUAGCCCUAAUGUGAGGGGCCCUCCAGCGUUGGUAUUCAAUUUCUCACAGUUGGAGGAGAAACUGAAGGCUGGUUACAGAGCCACAACAGGAGGGAAAUUCACAGAGGCACUUAGAGUCUUUCUCAGCAUUCUUCACACAAUUCCUUUAAUUGUUGUUGAAUCAAGGAGAGAGGU
rnacentral:misc_RNA from 1 species